GGAUAUGUGGUAUCAAAUAGGUCAAGGAAUGUGUACAAUACUUCCUGUACCAAAAGAUAAUCUCCCCAUAGAGAACUAAACAACGCUAAAGCUGGGGUCGAAGAAAGAGUUCAGAAGAAGGGUUUACUUUGAUUGGGUUGGUCCCUAUGCUGAAAGAAUAGGUUCCAAACGGAAAAGUAAUGAAUAAAAACUGACAUUCCAGUAACAACAUCCACUUUGUCUUUAGGUAUAAAUUUGGUAAUUAUUGGGUGUCUCACUAAAAUGUUCUGCAGGUGUAUCACUCAACACUCAAUUUUCUCUCGGUUUUUGGGUAAGGGUGUCACUCACGAGUUCUGUAAGUGUAUCCCUCCACACAAAUACUGAGCUUCCAAAAUGCUGAGUACCUGCAAGAAAAUCACCUUAGCCACCCUUAAAGGGGGUCACCGGUGGUGCAAUGGGAGUUCGUAAUUCCCAGUCCCUGCAGAC
rnacentral:lncRNA from 1 species